AGUGGAGCUCCUUGAAGUCCAACAGAGGGUCUUGGUGGGUAGAUUGAGCUGCUAAGCUAUGGAUCCCACAGUACUACCCAUAUAUACCCCAUUAUGCAGUGGUAGUUCUGCGGAUUCCAUAUCCUGGGAGCUUCAUUACCUUUCCACAGAUCCUUAUUUGGAUUGAAGGGAGCUCUACAUAGCAUCCUCUUUCUAAU
rnacentral:pre_miRNA from 1 species